rnacentral:rRNA from 1 species
UUUGAUUCUUUCGGGAUGAAGAGUAUUGUGACUGAGCGGCGGACGGGUGAGUAACGCGUGGGUAACCUGCCUCACACUGGGGGAUAACAGUUAGAAAUAGCUGCUAAUACCGCAUAAGCGCACAGGACCGCAUGGUCCGGUGUGAAAAACUCCGGUGGUGUGAGAUGGACCCGCGUCUGAUUAGCCAGUUGGCGGGGUAACGGCCCACCAAGGCGACGAUCAGUAGCCGACCUGAGAGGGUGACCGGCCACAUUGGGACUGAGACACGGCCCAAACUCC